GCCUAUCAGCUUGUUAGUGAGGUAAUGGCUCACCAAGGCGUCGACGGGUAGCCGGCCUGAGAGGGUGACCGGCCACACUGGGACUGAGACACGGCCCAGACUCCUACGGGAGGCAGCAGUGGGGAAUAUUGCACAAUGGGCGCAAGCCUGAUGCAGCAACGCCGCGUGAGGGAUGACGGCCUUCGGGUUGUAAGCCUCUUUUAGCAGGGAAGAAGCGAAAGUGACGGUACCUGCAGAAAAAGCGCCGGCUAACUACGUGCCAGCAGCCGCGGUAAUACGUAGGGCGCAAGCGUUAUCCGGAAUUAUUGGGCGUAAAGAGCUCGUAGGCGGUUUGUCGCGUCUGCUGUGAAAUCCCGAGGCUCAACCUCGGGUCUGCAGUGGGUACGGGCAGACUAGAGUGCGGUAGGGGAGAUUGGAAUUCCUGGUGUAGCGGUGGAAUGCGCAGAUAUCAGGAGGAACACCGAUGGCGAAGGCAGAUCUCUGGGCCGUAACUGACGCUGAGGAGCGAAUGGGUGGGGAGCAAACAGGCUUAGAUACCCUGGUAGUCCACCCCGUAAACGUUGGGAACUAGUUGUGGGGUCCAUUCCACGGAUUCCGUGACGCAGCUAACGCAUUAAGUUCCCCGCCUGGGGAGUACGGCCGCAAGGCUA
rnacentral:rRNA from 1 species